CCUACGGGAGGCAGCAGUGAGGAAUAUUGGUCAAUGGGCGCAAGCCUGAACCAGCCAAGUAGCGUGAAGGAUGACGGCCCUACGGGUUGUAAACUUCUUUUAUAAGGGAAUAAAGUGCGGCACGUGUGCCGUUUUGUAGGUACUGUAUGAAUAAGGACCGGCUAAUUCCGUGCCAGCAGCCGCGGUAAUACGGAGGGUCCGAGCGUUAUCCGGAUUUAUUGGGUUUAAAGGGAGCGUAGGUCGGUUGUUAAGCCAGUCGUGAAAUUCAGUGGCUCAACCCUGGAAUUGCGGUUGAAACUGGCAUUCUUGAGUGCGCGUGAGGUAUGCGGAAUUCGUGGUGUAGCGGUGAAAUGCUUAGAUAUCACGAAGAACUCCGAUUGCGAAGGCAGCAUACGAAAGCGCUACUGACGCUGAAGCUCGAAGGCGUGGGUAUCAAACAGGAUUAGAUACCCGAGUAGUC
rnacentral:rRNA from 1 species